UGAUGUGAGGGAGAUCUGGCUGUGACAUCUGUCACCCCAUUGAUCGCCAGGGUUGAUUCGGCUGAUCUGGCUGGCUAGGCGGGUGUCCUCUUCUUCCCUCACCACUCCAUGUGCGUCCCUCCCGAAGCUGCGUGCUCGGUGGAAGAGGACGACAUCCCAGGUAUAGAAGGAGUGUACUGAGGUCUCCAGUCUUCGGUCCCGGGUAUACGAUAGCUGCGCUCCCCUGCUAGAACCUCCAAACAAGCCCUUUUCCCUGUAUGAUGGGCGAAAGGGUGGUGGGGCAAUGCGCGUUGCCACCCUUUCUCCCAUCUGAUGGGGACAGGG
rfam:Anolis carolinensis unplaced genomic scaffold chrTn0047, whole genome shotgun sequence.